AACGAGUUCAUUUCUCAGUCUCUCUGCUAGUGCUUGGGUAUCAUCAGAAAAUGGCUAUUCGCCUCUUCACUCGCCCUGUACUCUGCAGGCCGACAUCCUCCAACAAAACGCUAAUUCUUUCUCUUCUCUCUCGCUCUUUAUCUUCCCUCCCCACAACCAAUCCUGUCUCUCGCUCUUUCUCUCUCCUCCGUAGUCUGCGGCCCCUCUCCGCCGCUGCCAGCUUCGCCUCCUUUAAUCUUUCUCCUGCUCUAGCUACUCGGUCCUUCUCGACCCGGACUACAACGUCCUCGCUUAAUGAUCCGAGCCCUAACUGGUCUAACAGGCCUCCGAAAGAGACUAUCUUGCUGGAUGGAUGCGACUUUGAACACUGGCUUGUGGUUAUGGAGAAGCCAGAGGGCGAUCCUACGAGGGAUGAAAUAAUUGAUAGCUAUAUCAAAACCCUGGCUAUGGUUGUGGGCAGUGAGGAAGAAGCAAG
rnacentral:misc_RNA from 1 species